GCACGGGAGAUCAACUCUCUUCUCGGCGUCUCUAAUCUCAGUGCACUCUCUCGAUCCAUGGUAAAAUGGGCGGAGUCUGGGAUGAGGACAACUAUUUGUUUUAUCCGUGCAAUUCAUCGGUGAAGAAG
ensembl:ncRNA Y73B6BL.277 ncRNA